rnacentral:rRNA from 1 species
AUUGAACGCUGGCGGCAGGCCCAACACGUGCAAGUCGAGCGAUUUACUUCGGUAAAGAGCGGCGGACGGGUGAGUAACGCGUGGGUCACCUGCCUCAUACACAUGGAUAACAUACCGAAAGGUAUGCUAAUACAAGAUGAUAUAAGAGAUUCGCAUGGAUUUCCUAUCAAAGCACCGGCGGUAUGAAAUGGACCCGCGUCUGAUUAGCUAGUUGGUAAGGUAACGGCUUACCAAGGCGACGAUCAGUAGCCGACGUGAGAGGGUGAUCGGCCACAUUGGAACUGAGCCACGGUCCAAACUCCUACGGGAGGCAGCAGUGGGGAAUAUUGCACAAUGGGCGAAAGCCUGAUGCAGCAACGCCGCGUGAGCGAUGAAGGCCUUCGGGUCGUAAAGCUCUGUCCUCAAGGAAGAUAAUGACGGUACUUGAGGAGGAAGCCCCGGCUAACUACGUGCCAGCAGCCGCCGUAAAAC